UAGAACAUGCCCUAGAAGUUAGUGGAUCGUCUGCCUGGUUCUCACCAGAACUCACUCACUCACAUUAAUUUCAGAGAUACCAUUACCGUUGAACAACUGAACAUUCACUCUUAAGUACAUCUCCAACUAGUUUGAAACAUAAAUUUGUCUAAUAAAAGAAAUAAAAUAUCUGUUCUAAAUAUCCAUUCUUAAUAUCACACCAACUCAAACAAAAGAUUCAACCGUCCCAAAAUUUAAAAGAAACCAUGAUUACACUAUAUACAUAGAGUAACGGAUCUUCCCAAGAUAACUUUGUAGUUCAAUCCAGUCACUCUUCAAUCUUCGACUCCUAUAAGGAACACAAAGCUAAAAGGGUGAGCUUACGCCCGUGAGGUUUCCAUGCAAGCAACAAUCAAUAUGUACUUAAAUUAGUACAAUUAAGCAAAUAGUGCAUAUUUCACUGUACAAUCACUUUCAUUAAGCAAUUGAGAAAACAUUUCACUAAACAAUCACUUUUAAAAGGAUACGGUGCUCGCAUUAGAGCCACUUCAAUGCACUACACACUCCGCCAAACUCCUAUAACCUCCAAAACAGUAAACACUUCCCUCACUUAGAUGGUCAUAUCAGUAUCAGUAAUCUGUGGUAAUACUCGAGUAUACCGAAUCACUUACCCAAAGCUACUGUCCUAUCCGAUCAAGCCCUUUGCUGGCUCGAAUAGUCCGUUGAACAGAGGGUUUUGGGACUCAGUUCAGCCAGUGUGAUAAAGUACACAUACGGUUUACAGUCAUGCACACUUACAAUAUCACUUGAUCAAUUAUCAACCUUCAAGCUCAACUAAGGCGAGUGCGAUAAAGUACACCCUCGACUUAGAAGGCGAGGGACAAUUGAAAAUACUUUACAAAGAAUCACUUAGCAAUAUUUCAUAAUAAGCACAUUUGCCAUAUAAUUGCACUUAGGUACACAUAAGUAGUUUAACACAUAAAUUCGAAAAACACUCACUAAAUAUCCAAAUAAAUUACUCUCGAGUCUCGAGUCGGUUUUCCGGUUCACAGCUACUUCCUGGACAAGUUAAUAAUUCCAAAUCAAAUACAUAGUUUGUAGAUGUUCACUUAUUGUUCUUACUUUAUCACAUGAACUAUUAAAAAUCAAGUUUAACUUUAAAGUACAAAAUAUAACAUAUUCAAUAUUCAUUUAUCAUUUUAUUUUGAAACUUAUUGAAUUUAUUGUUUUAAUCAAGAAUUAUACCGGUUUUCCCAAGUUAAUAAUUUAUAAGAUAUUUAUUUUAGGAUUAAAUCAUUUUCCACUCAAGAUUCCAAAAAUAAGGCUUAGAAGUUUUCCAUGGGUUCCCUUUUAAUUAAUUAGACUCUAAGUUAUUUGGAAAUUAAGUUUUAUUCCACUAUACCAACCCCUCAGAUUAAUAGUCUUUAAAAUAUUUGUGCAAACAAUAUUAAAUAAUUAGAAGUCACUUUACGCAUAUAACUAUCGUGACUUUUCACUCAAUCACCUUAGUUUAACUCUACUCGUCGAACUAGAUAUAGCCAUUAAAUCUCAGAACAAUCAUAGCUAUCAUUUAUGAAAGCUUACAAGAUUGGAAAUUAGAAGAAAUGUUAGUUAAAAGUUGGUUUCCUCGCGGCCAUUAUCAAAGCUGCAUGCAUGCGAAACAAAAGGAAAGGCAACGAGGAAGGCAGCUUUGCCAUCCUCUAGUAUUUCAAUCAUAACUAGAGCUACGUUUAUCGGAUUGAGGCAAACCAAACCUUAUAGCGUUUCGAAGCUCAAAUAUAGAUCUACAUUUCUUAUGAAGACAUCAACACCCAGUUCUCAUAUAUUCAAGGUCAGAAACGGCCGGACAGAAACACAUCCUGCUUCACUCUCUCGGACAGCAACCACAAAAUUAAUCCAGCAACGUUACUUCAACUUUUGUCAAAACUCUAUUCUUUCACUUGCUUAAAGCUCUAAAUACUUAAGGUACAUUCAGUCCAGCAUAUACCAAGGCAAAUAGCAUCUAGUUUCAAGAAUUAUUCAACCCAAAAGCUACGCACAAGCAAUCUGAAGUCUACUUCUCUCUCUCGGUCAAGCUGUGACUGAUUUGUGCAGCAAUCAGUUUGACACAACUCUUCUCCAAUAAACUCUUCCGUUUAUGUUCAAAUCUUUCAUGCAUGUUCAGACCAAGCUUUAAUGCAAUAUAUAUUACAGCUUAGCAUAAAAAUUCAAGGAGACAGCUAGAAACCUCAGCAUUUCCCCCUCUCGGAUGAGACUGAAAAAUUCCUGCAGGUUCUAAUCAACCUUUACACAUCCAAAUUUCCAGAUUUCACAAACCUGUUCAGCUAAUCUUCUCAUAAUACUUAGAGUAAACAUUUUACAUGCAUUUCCUAACAUUAUUCUCCACAGAAAACUCGGUUAACAAGCUGCAAUUCCGGUUCAUCUUCUCGGUGAUUUCAGUUUUCUUUUCUAGCACUUAGUCAGUUACUAAACAGAGUUUCCCUCGGUCAAGAACUCAUUUUCUUUGCUAGAACCUAACAUGCAGCUUACAUAUUCAUUUAUACCAGAUAAAUAAACAAGAGAUUGUUGGAGUUUCUUACCUUUUUCCUCCUGAAGCUCGAUAAUUACAUAUUACUCUCUUCUCUCUGCUCUGGUUCCUCCCACUCUUGCACCGCUAUCCUUCUCCCCACUGAUGUAGCUGAUACUCGAAGUUGCAGCCUGGUUUCUCCUCUUAGCUCUCGGCUUUGGUUGGUUAAAAAGUGCAGAAAUGGAAAAGCGGUUCAGUUGCUCUUUUUUUUUUUUCCUCUCUCGGCUGUUGCUGCCUAAGGAAAAAUGGAGAGCUAUCUCACUCACUCUCCCAGUCGAUAACUCCAAAGAACUGAUCACUCACUUCCUCUCCAGUCGGUGGGAACAAUUCUAAUAGUCAAGACUCAAGGUUUAUUGCUCUCCACUCAGUUUUAUUGCUACCAUUCUGA
rnacentral:lncRNA from 1 species